AUGGAGUCUUGCUGUGUCACCCAGGCUGGAGUGCAGUGGUACAGUCUCGGCUCACUGCAACCUCUGUCUCCCAGAUUCAAGCAAUUCUCCUGCCUCAACCUCCCAAGUAGCUGGAACUACAGGUCAUCAAGGAGUGAUUUUCCCUUGGAAGCUCCAAGCAAAAUGUCAACUCCAGCAUUCCACACGGCUCUGGGCGCUGCUCUCCUUUUCCUCUGCAAAGAUGCUGACCUGCUAGUGAAUUCUCCCCACAGCCUUGGUGUGCAGCAGUUCAUGCAAAUAAACCCAGAAGAUGAUACCAAGCUGGACUCUUCAUUCUAUGUUGAGCUCCUGUCCUUUGCCCACGGCUUAAAGCUUCUCUGGCUCAUGGGACAUUUCUUGGCAUGAAAGGGUCCAUGGCUCUGGCCUCAUGGAUCCUUCCCACAGCAAAGCCAGGCCAGCUUUUCUAUGGACACAACCCAGGCCUUCAUCCCUUUCUUACUCCCCAGUUCCCAUAGGCUAAGAUGGCCCUGCAGGAUGUGUGGAACCUUGGCAAGCAGGACAGGAUGGGAGGAAAACACUGGUCCUCUCUCCAAGGCAUCCCUGUGGUGGCAGCCAGCUUGGGCUUUUGUGCCUCUCCCUGACCAGCUUCCAGUCCCCAGAGUCUGGGUCCCAGUCCCUGGGGAGCCUUGCAAGGGGCUGAAGCAGGCUGUGCACCAAGUGUCACCUAUAAACCAAUGUGCCUUCCACUUCUACAAGCUCGAUUUUUCAAAUAUAUGUGAUCAUGUAGAUAAAUAAAAUACCAACUUAAAUGUUUUAGUAAUAUAUC
rnacentral:lncRNA from 13 species